UUUUUGUAUUUUUAGUAGAGACGGGGUUUCACUGUGUUAGUCAGGAUGGUCUCGAUCUCCUGACCUCGUGAUCCAGCCACCUCAGCCUCCCAAAGUGCUGGGAUUACAGGCGUGAGCCACCUCGCCCAGCCGGUGCUGCCUUCUUGAGCCGUGGCCUCCACAGUGCUUCACCUGGCUCCCGCAAAACAGCUUCAUUGAGAUGAAAUUCACAUGCUCACAAGUCACUCUUUACAGUGUACAAUUCAGUGGUUUUUAGCAUGUUCACGAAGUUGUGCAACCAUCCCCACUCAUCUCACUCCGGAACACGUUCAUCAUCCGCAGAAGACGUCCUGUGCCUGUUAGCAACCGCUCCCCGCCACGGUUUGAGUGAGGCCACAACAGAACAUCAGACAGCAGUUUAUCAACAGAGACUUCCUGCCUCCCCGUCUGGAGGCCAAGGGCCCUUAUAAAAGGGCUAGAAGGAACUAGCUUGGCUGUUUUUCCUCCGAAUUCUGCCAUGUGAGGCUGGAUACGCCAUUGGAGCUGCCCUCAGCAGACCCCAGCCUGCCGGCACCUGGAUCUUGGACUCCCCAGCUUGAGAACUACAGGAAAUAAAUUUCUGUUGCUUAUAAAUUACUCAGUCUGAGGUGUUUUGUUACAGCAGCGGGGAUGGACUAAGACCCUUCCCAUUUUCCCCCAGCUGUGCCCUCGCCCCCAGCCCCGGGCAGCUGGGAGUCUACUCUGUGUCACCGUGGACCUGCCCAUUCCAGACAUUUGACAUAAAUGGUCUCAUGUGAUAUGUGGCCGUCUGCGUCUGACCUCCUUCACUUGGCAAAUGUUUGCGAGGUUCAUCCACUUUGGAGCAUGGGCCAGAGCUUCAUUCCUUUUUACGGGUGAAGAAUAGUGUGGGGCCAGGCCACAAUGUGCCCAUCUGUCCCUCAGCAGAUGGACAUGUAGGCUGUGCCCACCUUUGGGCUAUUGUGAAUAAUGCUACCAGGAACAUUUGUGGAUAAGCUUUUGUGUGGAUAAGCUUUUGUUUCUGAUUCUCGGGGACGUGUACCCAGGAGUGGGAUUGCUGGGUCACAUGGAAUUCGGCUUCACACUUUGAAGAACAGAACAGCCGCAUGUGAGGUUCCCACGUCUCCGCCCUGACACCUAUGAUGCUUUCGGUUCCAGCCAUCCCAGUGGGUGUGAGGUGUGGUCUCGUGUGGUUUUUAUUUGCAUUUCCCUGGUGGCUAAUGGUGUUAAGCAGCUUGUCAUGAGCUUGUUGGCUGGUCGCAUAUAUUAUUUGGAAAAAACAUCUAUUCAAAUUCUUUUGCCUUUUUUUUUUGAGUUAGAGUCUCUCUCUGUCACCCAGGCUGGAGUGCAGUGGCGCGAUCUCAGCUCACUGCAACCUCUGCCUCCCAGGUUCAAGCAAUUCUCUUGCCUCUGCCUCCUGAGUAGCUGGGAUUACAGGCGUGCACCACCACGUGGUGGCUAAUUGUUGUAUUUUUAGUAGAGAUGUGGUUUCACCACGUUGGCCAGGCUGGUCUCAAACUCCUGACCUCAAAUGGUCCCCCCAGCUUGGCCUCCCAAAGUGCUGGGAUUACAGGCGUGAGCCACUGCGCCCGGCCUCUCCCAGUUUGCCCAUUUUUUAACUAGGUUGUUUAUCUUUGUAUUGCUGAGCUGUGAGAGUUCUUUAGCACACUGGUUUUUCACUACCUUACCCUGGAGCCGAUACACAUCCUUUCUGCUCAGUCAUUAGCCAGAAAUGCAGAGAAAUGCUACUGUGUGACCCCAUGACCUCAGCCUGAUGUGCAGGGGUCCCCAGAAUAUUAGACGGGCACUGACUGUCUGCAGGAUACAGACCCGGGAGGGUGGCUUUGCACUGCUGAUCUGAACACAGCCUCUCACUGAUUCAAAACGUCCUUUUGGCGUGUCUGUAAUGCCUGCGUGUUCACCGUUCGCAUUGUUACUGUGAGCGACCCACGCACCAGCUCCACACGGGGCUCCCUAGGUGCAGCCUCCGGUGUGUGUUAAAACCUGGUGGCCACGGUUCCCUUGUUCAUCUUUUGUUCCAGAAUUUCCUUAGUUUUCUUACUUAUUUUUCCACGUUAACUUCACAAUCAAUCUACCUGAUUCCAGGGUUCUCCGGUGUUUUAAUUGGCCCCGCUGUGGCAGCCGGCCAGCACGAGGGACGGCACCUCGUGACGCCCAGGACAGACCGGGCUUGUUGCUGGUCUGUGGUCCUCAGUCAGGCCUCAGACCCUCUAUAACAGGUAUAGAUGUGCCCGCCGUUUGCUCCUAGAAAUUUACAAUUUUUGUUGCUGUUGGGAAUGGUCCCUUUUCUUUCUUCAUUGUCUCUCCUAACUGGAAGUGCUUGAAUUUGAAAGAUGCUGAUUCCUGACUCUGAAUUUUGUGCACAGCCACCCUCCGAAACUCACCUCUGCCUUCUAAUCAGUUUUCCGGGUCUAUGAGGAGUCGCAGCAGGCUGUGCUCGGGUG
rnacentral:lncRNA from 1 species